UACUGGCACAGGAGAUAAUGACGAUGAGGAAAUCACAAAUCAACAAGGUGAACAAUCUGGGAAAAAAGGAAAACGUCCAAAAAGGAAAAAUGUGGAUGUUGAAGAACCGGUUGUUGGCACAUCCAACAACAAAUGAGAAACUUUGGAUUGAUGGUAAUUACGAUGAUAUCCCCUCAAACUGAAAAGGAAAAAACAGAGAAACUUGUGGUGCCAGUGGUGAUAAAGGCACGGGGCCAGCAGCAGGAAGUGAUGAAUCUGCUGAAAAUGGUGAGGGUGCAGACGGCGGUGAGCCAUCUGCAGCCGGAAAGCGUUCAGGUCGUGCACGACAUGGCCCAUUGAUUGAGGAGAGAGUUAGUGGUAAGAUUACAAGCGCUGUAUUCACUGCUGCAUGGGAAGCCAUUUGAAGUCAUUUGAUGAGCAGAUGACUUUUUCCAGUGGUUGAGAAAAGGUGCGUGACCACUGAGUAGAAUGCUGCAUUUGACAGCUAAUGUUUAAAUGGCCUAUACGAAUGAUCAGACAGUUCAGCAAGAGUGGCUUUAACCAUGAGUGUCUGUAGAAAAUGCUAAUCAAAGUUGAUGCACGAAUAAUUUUUGCAUACAGCACAGUGUAUGAUUUUUUCCCCCCCAGUUGUCAUAAUAGUGAAAUGAAGAAAAAAAAGCUUUAGUCUGCAGGAAAUAGUACAGCACUGCUUAUAUAAUUUUAUUUUCAUGACCUACAGGUUGGAUAUCAGCAGAUAUUUUACUGUGUCUACCUCUGUCUUUUUCGUAUCGUGUUUGCAGACUGUGUGCGCGUGUGUGAUAGUAACGUUUAAACGCAUCCGUGCUCUGUGUGCAUCUGUGUUAACAAUCUUGCUUGCCUUGUUAAAUGUCAAUCCAGGAUGAGUCGGUGCAUUGAGGUCAAUUAUUUAAAUGAACAACUGCAGAACCAAUUGUGUUCUUGAUACAACAACUGUGACACUUGGGUGUACACACUCUUACAAAUUUUGAAGAUGAAGACAAUCUGACUGACUUUGGGAGGAUGACCAUGCUCUAAACCAGUUUCUUCACAUUGAAGACUGACUGCACAUCAAAUAGACAAAAUGCUCAUGUCUUCCACUGACCAAGGAACUCAGACCUGAAUGAUGUAUCUUAUAUUUUGAGUGAAUAUUUCUUUUAAGAGUGACUAAGUGAGCAGCUGAUGACAUUCUUAUGAGCUUCAGCUUUGCAAAGAGCUGUGCCAAGACUUCAACUGCUUUGAAGUUGAAGAAGGACACUCCAAAACAAGACAAUCAAAACUACACAGUAACCAAGAAGACGUCUUCCUCAAGUUUGACAUAUAUGCAAAAUGCACUCUUCUUACAUUCUGUAGAAACUUGGAUUAUACUGUUGCUUCAAAUAGUUUAAAACAUGUAUUUUAUUGGUAGAUAAUAAAAUACAUGCUAUCAACAGAAUUGCGGAAACAAGAUGCAAAACUGUGAUGAUUGUUUAAAUAGUAAGGUAAGUGUGUACACACUUGGGUCACAAACUUACAAGUGCGUAGACCAUGCAUUCAUCCAUACAUGAAUGCAUAAAUUCCUUGUGGCAGUAGAUUCACAAUUACAAAAACUUGAAUAACAACAACUUAUAUGAAGAUGUAAGCUGCAGCGGUAAGAUACAUGCAUUUACUAACUUGCCUGGUUGAUAAAU